rnacentral:ribozyme from 13 species
GAAGAAGAGGAAGAAGUAGAAGAUGAGGAAGAAGAGGAAGAAGAAGAGAGACAGUCUUGAAGGAGUUUGAGUUGGUUUGGAGCGUCAUUUUCCUCCUUCUUUGCUUUUUCCUUCUCGGUCUCUUCUUCCUUCUUC